rnacentral:sRNA from 1 species
CAACAGCGAAAGGAGGUGAUCCAGUGAUCUCAUUGUCCCCAACCCGUACGGUGACCGUCUGCUGGUCCUCUGGCGAGGUCCGGGCCUGAUCCUUUCAGGCUGAAGCUACCGGUCGACCGUUCGCGGUCAGACAAUGAAGAGCCGUCGGGGCAACCCGGCGGCUC